AGCUCAUGCGUGUGCACCAAGUAAAUAAAUAAACUUAAAAAGAAACGCCGAAAAGGCUCUCUCUCUAAAGAGGCGGUGGUGAGUGGCAGGGGGCUGGAGGGGAAAGUCCUCCGGCGCGCGGCCUCCGGGCCUGCCCGUGAACGGCCAGCUGGAAGGCCCCACAAGGCCGGCCUCUGCUCCGCGGGGCUGCCCCUCCCGUGCAGAGUCUCAAAGCCUGCGGAGCGCCACGACAAAGGGACAGGGCUCCACGGAGCAGGGCCUGGGGCACCUUGACCUAGGAAGUGAGGACAAACGGAGAGGACCACGGCCACGCCACCAGUGCCGAUGGGACCCAGGCCCCGGCUGGAAGUGGUUCCUCCUGGCCGUGUUUGGGACAACUUGAGCGAACAAGAAGUGAAGAAUUAAAAGGGAAAAAAAGUCCAGAGAGACACUCAAAAAGGCAGGAAGCAGAGGGGAAAAGGAAGCAAAGGAGAAAACCAGCGCGUCUCCGACUCAGGAAUGGAAGGAUGGGCACCGCACAGGGAGGCUGUGGGCAAAGACGGCCAGGAGCGUCCGUGUGGUCCAAGCAGCACCUGCGGCCAACUUCUCAGCGAGGGGGGCCUGUGAGCAGGGUGCCCAGGCCCGUCGCCCCGCCACAAGCACACGCCCACCUGUACCCGGGGCAGGAGGGGCCUCGGUGCCCCUGAGAGGGGCCAAGGGGUCAGGCUGUGCGGCCACGGCUAAUGCCCGAAAGGCAAGGCCUGGCCUGCGGGCAGGCAAAGGACAGGCUGGCCAGCGCCCCGGGGGGGGGGGGGGGGCGGACGCCACACCGGGGAGCAUCAGCCCCAAGACGGAGAAGUCGUGCAGUCAUACGACUAGCGGCACCGGACAGGGGCCGGGCCUCGCGGGAGCUGAGACACGGGUGACGUACAGCGGCCUCUCCUAGAAGCCAGCAGCUGCCGCAGCGUGGCCCACGCUACACGGCGACUUUCGGGCAGCGGGACCUGCGGGCCAGGAAGGAAAGGCCGUCACGGUGAAUCCCUGCCUGGGUGCGCUGUCAGGACGGUGGACGGACACCUGCCCGAACAGCAGCGCAGACAGACAGGGCCUGCCCCUCGAGUCCCUCCACUCGCUGAGGGGAUCAAGGAGAUGCUUCUGUGACGACCCACGGUUCCACAGGGUGUGAACAACGCUCUUGCAAAGCGCCUGCUCCCGCAGGCCCCCUGCACGUCGCGCCCCGCCUGCCCCCCCCCAGGAGCACGGAGCCCGCACCCCUCCCGGCCUCGGCCCACGCCUUUCACCUCCCCACCCGCAGCGCCCCAUCUGCAAGGGGAGAGCCGGGCAAACACGGCCAGCGGACCGUGCACUGCGACGGGAAGGCAGGUCGGAGCCACAAUAACCCAGAUACGGUUUUCCUCUGAGAGAUGUGUCCACAAAGCCUAGAUCCCCCAGUGUCUGAAAAAGCCCCGUUACUUAGUGCUAUGGGUCUGCUGUGAGAUUCCGCGGGUGACGGAGGCCACACGAGCCGGGAGACAAAUCAGGAAGUAGCCGGUAGGCCAGCCGCCUUGGUGACAGGCCAGCCCUAGACGCCGGCCCACACGUCUGCGGGGCUCGCUCCCAGGCCGCGGCCUGGGCUGGAAUGGAGGCGUCAGUCCGUAGUCGGCCCACCCUCUCCUCCGCUUGAUGACUGGACAGCAGCAGGACGACGACAGAGCAAAGGGAACAGAGCCUGGGGAGCAGGGAUCGGCUGCCGUCAGGCAGGAGGAAGCCGUCUGAGGGGGCGGCUGCAAGGUCCACACAUCUAAGAACAGCGGAGGCCUGCGGCGUUUGCCUCAAGUAAUGCAUUCCCAAACACGGAAAGGUGUCUUAGUGACAAGAGUCAAGACAAAGGGAUCGUUAGUGCUGGUAUUACGGGAAGCGACAGAAGAGGUGACUCCCCCGGGCAGCCACUCAUCUUCGUCUCUAGGGACCUGCUUCCCUCCCCCGACACACACGACGGUGGACUCACUGGACUCACGCGGCACGUGGCUCCUCCCACCCAGCGCCGCGUCUGUACAGCCCCCCCCCCCCCCCCCCCCCCCCGGCCUCGGGCCAGUAUCCGAACGCCACUCCUCACGGCCGAGUAACUGCAUCCCCUCGUGCGACACACAUCGACACGCACGGGGCUGCCUCCGCCUGUGGCCGCUGUCGGGGGGGGGGGGCUGCCGUGAACACGGGUGUGCCCGUUCUGCACGGGGGAAGGCCACCUGUGGAGGCCGCGAGGGACGGCGCGGUGACGUCCGCAACCCCCGCCGUGGGCAAAGCCGAGGGCAGACGUCCCUCCCGCAGAGAACGUGUCCUCAUGUGCAAGGACAACACCCAACCGUGCGCCCUGGGAGACGGGGGUGGGUGACAGAGAGUCGCCGGUCCCGGAACGAGCUGCCGCCUUCCCAACACGGGGCCAGCGAUGCGCACCGCGAAUCGGGGACGGGGACGCUGGGCCGCAGCCUGCACUGUGAGUUCCCGCUCCAGGGGGACAACCCACCCACUGGCCGGCCCCGUGGGCAGGGGAGGGCGUAGGGCCAAGGGCAUCCCCUCCACGCUCUCGCCCAUCUCCAGGGCCUGUGUGCGCUUCGUGUAUGCAGAGCUCGGACACUUUUACCUCCUCGCCAGCGCCUGCCAGGAAACCGCCUUCGCCUGGCCCCGCACGUGGCACCGAGGGCACGUGGCCGCACGAGGCGGCGGCAGGCCCGGGGGUGAGGCGGCCCAGCGCCCCGUCCCGGGAGCCGUGUCUUCCUGCACCUCAACCCUGAUUCGGGGCCCGAGGCCUCGGGGCGCAGACGAUCCCAAGCGGGGAUCCCAAGCGGGGAUCCCAAGCGGGUCCACAGACACGCAGAGCCAGGAUGUGACAAGAAGGCAGGCCGAGUCCUCAAGACCCCUCAGCAGGAGGGUGCUGGGGCUUCCGAGCGGUAGACGGACAGCGGCUGGACAGGGGGACAGGCCAGGCUGGGCCGCAGAGGCCGGCCCACCUCAGACACACGCAGGGCCUCGUCUCUGUGAGGGUCCCGGCUCGUGGCAGAAACCUGGCUUUGCCGACUGUCCUGGGCCCCCCCACAUCCCGGUGUGCUAGCUCAUUUAGCCCUCCAAGACCCCGAGGGGCAAUGCUGUAAUUACUGCCAAUUUACAGGAGGGGACGGAGUCCUGGGGGCUAAGCAGCCGGCCUGACACCCCCAAUGUCAAGGCUUCAGGCUCUCCCCUCCACUCGGGACCAAGAACUCAGGAUGUAAGUCUCCGUGGUUCUUUUAGCAGCCACGCUUGUCCUGUGUUUCGUCCACUGGCCCACGGCCGGCUCGGCUGAAGCCUGGGCAGGUAGGGGGCCAGGGUGAGUGGGGAAGGCACCCCAGAGAGCGGAGGCAGCAGCCCAUGCAGACCGGAGGAGGACGCUGCCUGUCUGCCAGCGGGGGCCACGGCACAGAGCGAGGGCACCGAGGGCACCGCAGGCAGGAGCCAAACCACACACCGGCCCUCCCAGUGGCAGCAGCUGGGGAGGACCGUGGUUUUGUCAGCUUAAGGAAGACCGGAGGUCGGGGCGGGGAGGGGGCGGGUGGCCAGCCAGGCCUGUCACUCGUCCAGUAGCUCAGAAAUUCCCCCACAAGGCUGGGGGAGUUCACAGGGAAGGCUAUCUUGCUAACUCAGGGCUCUCGGAGGAAGAGACCGCCAAGGCCCAAGCUCAUGGGCGCGGGAGGCAGGAUGCCCCCAAAGCGUACGACAGAAACGGGUACUGCCCCCCGGGAGCUCACUCUUGCCUAAGGAGGGGGGGCCCAGAUUCCACUGACGAGAACGUCGCCCCACGACACUGUCCACAGGAGGGGCCCUUUCUGGGGGCAGUGCCCACCCACCGGCCGCGUCAUCCCCAGGCAUCCUUCCAAUAGCUGUGGGAAGCUCUGUAAACCUACUCACGACAGGAAGCGGGGUGGCGGGGGAGGCCUGGGGCUGCACACGGGGACUCGGAACCUGGAGACCCUGCUGGGGUCGCACACAGGGGCUCCGGACCCCCGAGUGCCCGCACAGGGGGCUGAGGGAGGCACGCCUGGCCCUGCCGUAGCCCAGGGCUCCUCUGCUCGCCUGUGCACCAGGGGCUGGAGGCCUUUCUUCCCUACCGGCCACGCACGCUCGUCAAGGACUAGGGGGCUGGUGGCCACGGGGAUCUAAUGACAAGGCACCUCGUCACCCUGGGAGCCCAGAGAACGCAGGCCUGAGACUGGCAGUGGCCCAGCCCCCUCUUCCGGGCCCCAGGUCUCCCAUCUCUAGGGGAGGUCAGCCCCUUUCAGUGGUCCUCAAACCUCUGGGAGGCUCCCCCACUCCAAAGCAGCUCCUCAGACCCCAGGCUCUGGGAACAGAGGCCCCAGGCCGGUUCCUUGUCAGCUGCUCGCCAGCAACAACACUGCCGUGGGGGCCACACGUUGUGAGAGACCUUCAAAGAAAACACUCUCCAGCCCCAGCCUUGCUGGCGCGGGGCUCCCGGGGGCGUCCUUCGCCUCUCUGGAGCCUCUGUGGGUUUCACACAGAGCUCACGUGGCCCUUGGAUGCCAUCAGUGACCCCAGCGGGCAGGGCGCUGCAGAGGAAGUCCCCCAGCUGCAUAAGGGACGCAGACACCUGGCGGGGGAGACAUGCAGAGGGCUCCACACGUCACGUCUCCCGCCGGUGCUGGCUCAGGGAAGCCACGUGUCCAAACCCGUGUCUCAGCUCUUACUUCCUCGAGGCAGGCCCCCUCCUUCAGGAAUUUGGGGACCCCCACGCCACUUCCUGACUCUCCGUGCUGACCCCACCCUCCCUCCAAAACUCGCACCUGCCCCGUGCCCAGCCUUGCCAGGCCACAGGUGACCAGCGCCCUUCAGGCGACAGCGCCCUGACUCUGCCUGACCCCGAGGGAGGCUCUAGGCAUAGGCCCGCAGGGCAAUAAGGGAUCAGUCCGCCUCUGUGUUCAGGACUCCGGCUGCCUGACGCCCACACCCCAUUGUCGGGGGGCAGAGGGCAGAGGGCAGAGCCCCAAGCCCCGGCCUGGGUGGUGCCAACGCGGGCCCUGGGGCCGAGUGCUCUCAAGGGAAGGUUUCGGGGGACUUUCCCUCGGUUAGACAGGUUGUGAGCGCUUCUUCUGUAUUACGGGUGGGGUUUUAGGUCCUAUUUCAAACUGCAGACGCUGCCCGCUUUCCGGGAGGGACUGUUUAGCGUGUGGAAUCCGCUGGGUGCCCACAGUCGCUGGGAGGCACAUGCGUUACUUGUUCCGGCCGCCACACCGGUGACUCUGUAUGUAGGCCGACUUGAACCUGUCUGGGUCACGCGGCCAAAGCAUAUGCUGUUCCCAGUGCAGCCUGUGUGGCUGGAACGACCUAAGACUGAAUCCCUGUCCUCCUUACAGAACUGGAGGUCUCUGCCCGGCCGCUGCCAGCAAGGGAGCUCGUGGAGAGGGGAGGACCGGAGACGGACAGGAGCCGCCUGCACAGCUCACAGGCCCUGGCAGUCAGCCGCCGACCCUCUGGGCUUCCUUUUCUUUCCCCGCUUCCGUCUGCUUCCCCACCACCCGCUCAGCCGCUUGCCGGGGGACGGGCGAUUUCACGGCUGAGCGACGUUUCACUCUGAAAACUCAGGUUUCUUUAUACUGUAGAUUGGCUCCAGUAAAAAGUAAAACAGAGUUCAUUUUCCUAGACUUUCAGCCUGGAAGUGACUGAACAGACCGCUCAGGGCUUCCUCGUUCAAAAAAGAUGAUCAGUGGCUCCAGCGCUGGGUCCCGAAGACAGAACCGGAAAGGCUUGUCCACGGGCAACACACACGUCUGGAUGCAGACUGAAGCCACCAGAGGCGUGGCUAGCGCGGGGGCACGAACACGGAGAAGGUUCGGUCUGGCAGAGCACAGUGUAUGCCUUCCAGCAGCCACGUCUGGCACGUGCCGCGGGCAACAUCCCGACAGUUCAGGAAUUCGCGUCUUCAGGCGACCAGGAUGGGGACGAGGGGGCUGCCCGGCAGCAGGUCCCCACAGAAGGGUGCGGGCCAGCAGCCACACCGCCCCUCGUGUUCCCGUCCGAGCCCAUGGGUCCACAGAAGCUCACACCCGCCACGCCACCCCUCCGUCAGGCGGGCCGGGCUGGACGGCGCAGGGCCUGGCCACGGAUGGGCC